CUACGGGGGGCUGCAGUGGGGAAUAUUGCACAAUGGAGGAAACUCUGAUGCAGCAACGCCGCGUGGAGGAUGACACUUUUCGGAGCGUAAACUCCUUUUAUAUAGGAAGAAGAUGACGGUACUAUAUGAAUAAGCGCCGGCUAACUCCGUGCCAGCAGCCGCGGUAAUACGGAGGGCGCAAGCGUUACUCGGAAUCACUGGGCGUAAAGAGCGUGUAGGCGGAUUAAAAAGUCAGAAGUGAAAUCCUAUAGCUUAACUAUAGAACUGCUUCUGAAACUCUUAAUCUAGAAUAUGGGAGAGGUAGAUGGAAUUUCUGGUGUAGGGGUAAAAUCCGUAGAGAUCAGAAGGAAUACCGAUUGCGAAGGCGAUCUACUAGAACAUUAUUGACGCUGAGACGCGAAAGCGUGGGGAGCAAACAGGAUUAGAUACCCCUGUAGUC
rnacentral:rRNA from 1 species